ACUUUACAUUGUAUAUUUAUUUUCCAUAUAUUUAUAAACCGAGGAUAAAUGUAACAUGUUGGGCUGGGGCGGCAGGAAUAAAAAAAUUAACUGUUCUGUAAAAUAAAAUACGUAUAAGUAGAUGUUGAACCUUCAGUGUGAGGAUUAUAAGAUUAAGUU
rnacentral:rRNA from 1 species